GCAGCAGCCGCGGGAAUACAGAGGGUGCGAGCGUUAAUCGGAUUUACUGGGCGUAAAGCGUGCGUAGGCGGCUUUUUAAGUCGGAUGUGAAAUCCCUGAGCUUAACUUAGGAAUUGCAUUCGAUACUGGGAAGCUAGAGUAUGGGAGAGGAUGGUAGAAUUCCAGGUGUAGCGGUGAAAUGCGUAGAGAUCUGGAGGAAUACCGAUGGCGAAGGCAGCCAUCUGGCCUAAUACUGACGCUGAGGUACGAAAGCAUGGGGAGCAAACAGGAUUAGAUACCCGAGUAGUCCCUGUCUCUUAUAC
rnacentral:rRNA from 1 species